GGACACGAACACACAUGAGGAGUUUAGGAGUGGAAGUUUAAUAGAAGAGAAGAGAAAGAGAAACAGUUUCCUCUAUAGAGGAAGGGUCAUAGGAACAGAGAAA